rnacentral:rRNA from 1 species
GACGAACGCUGGCGGCGUGCUUAACACAUGCAAGUCGAACGGAAAGGCCCUGCUUGCAGGGUACUCGAGUGGCGAACGGGUGAGUAACACGUGGGUGAUCUGCCCUGCACUUCGGGAUAAGCCUGGGAAACUGGGUCUAAUACCGGAUAGGAGCCAUUUUUAGUGUGAUGGUUGGAAAGUUUUUUCGGUGUAGGAUGAGCUCGCGGCCUAUCAGCUUGUUGGUGGGGUAAUGGCCUACCAAGGCGGCGACGGGUAGCCGGCCUGAGAGGGUGGACGGCCACAUUGGGACUGAGAUACGGCCCAGACUCCGACGGGAGGCAGCAGUGGGGAAUAUUGCACAAUGGGCGCAAGCCUGAUGCAGCGACGCCGCGUGGGGGAUGACGGCCUUCGGGUUGGAAACUCCUUUCGCUAGGGACGAAGCUUUUUGUGACGGUACCUAGAUAAGAAGCACCGGCUAACUACGUG